rnacentral:rRNA from 1 species
UGGGGAAUAUUGCACAAUGGGCGCAAGCCUGAUGCAGCCAUGCCGCGUGUGUGAAGAAGGCCUUCGGGUUGUAAAGCACUUUCAGCGAGGAGGAAGGGUAGUGUGUUAAUAGCACAUUGCAUUGACGUUACUCGCAGAAGAAGCACCGGCUAACUCCGUGCCAGCAGCCGCGGUAAUACGGAGGGUGCAAGCGUUAAUCGGAAUUACUGGGCGUAAAGCGCACGCAGGCGGUUUGUUAAGUCAGAUGUGAAAUCCCCGCACUUAACGUGGGAAC